AUUGAACGCUGGCGGCAGGCCUAACACAUGCAAGUCGAGCGGAUGAAGGGAGCUUGCUCCUGGAUUCAGCGGCGGACGGGUGAGUAAUGCCUAGGAAUCUGCCUGGUAGUGGGGGAUAACGUCCGGAAACGGGCGCUAAUACCGCAUACGUCCUGAGGGAGAAAGUGGGGGUUCUUCGGACCUCACGCUAUCAGAUGAGCCUAGGUCGGAUUAGCUAGUUGGUGGGGUAAAGGCCUACCAAGGCGACGAUCCGUAACUGGUCUGAGAGGAUGAUCAGUCACACUGGAACUGAGACACGGUCCAGACUCCUACGGGAGGCAGCAGUGGGGAAUAUUGGACAAUGGGCGAAAGCCUGAUCCAGCCAUGCCGCGUGUGUGAAGAAGGUCUUCGGAUUGUAAAGCACUUUAAGUUGGGAGGAAGGGCAGUAAGUUAAUACCUUGCUGUUUUGACGUUACCAACAGAAUAAGCGCCGGCUAACUUCGUG
rnacentral:rRNA from 1 species